GGGGUGGCGGUUAACUCACUUUAAGCAAUCAAUUCUGAAGGCAGAUCUAUUGGCUAGCAUUGCUGGCUAUAGACUGAACAAAUACAGACAACUCUCAACAACGGAUAUCUUGGCUCCCGUAACGAUGAAGAACGCAGCGAAAUGCGAUACGUAGUGUGAAUUGCAGAAUUCCGUGAACCAUCGAAUCUUUGAACGCAAAUUGCGCUCGAGGCUUCGGCCAAGAGCAUGUCUGCCUCAGCGUCGGCUACUACCCUCAACUAAGUUUCCUACGAAAGACUAGGGGAUGCCAGUUGGAUAUGGCCGUCCGGUUUGCCUUUCAGGCUGCCGGUCAGCUGAAAUACAUUCACGCUCUGGGGGCUGCUUUCCUUGAAAGGCUACUUUCAAGGGGAGGCGAGUUCCGAUUUGGUAGGUGACCUUUGCCGGUUACAUGCCUUCGUUGCUCGCUAAGCUUCCCAAUAGUCGUUGUGCAGGACGCCUUUUGGCUUUCGACCUGAGGUCAGGCAAGAACACCCGCUGAACUUAAGCAUAUCAAUAAGCGGAGGAAAAGAA
rnacentral:rRNA from 1 species